rnacentral:rRNA from 1 species
AUAGCCGCAAUUUGUGCUAAGGUAGCAUAAUCAUUUGUCUUUUAAAUAAAGACUAGAACAAAAGAUUUAACAUUUUAAUUCAUAUUACAAAAAUAAAAAUUUAAUUUUUCCUAAAUGUAAAAAAACAUUUAUUCCAAAGAAAGACGACAAGACCCUAUAGAACUUAACUAUAGUUAUACUGGGGCAGUAAAUUAAUUAUAAUUUUAAUUAUAUAUUAUAUAUAUUCAUCUAUUAAUUUUAAUAAUUAACUAAGUUACCUUAGGGAUAACAGCGCAAUUAAUUUUUAAAGCUCUUAUAUAAAAAAUAGAUUACGACCUCGAUGUUGAAUUAAUUACCUAUUAUUUAAAGCAAAGUUUAAAAAAGGAAGUCUGUUCGACUUUAAAACAAUUACAUGAUUUGAGUUCAGACCGGUGUAAGCCAGGUCGGCUUCCAUCUUCUACAAAAUUUCUUAUAGUACGAAAGGGCCUAAGAAUAUUUUAUAAUUUAAUUGGCAGAUUAAUGCAUUAGAAUUAGAAUCUAAUAAAUCUAAU